ensembl:lncRNA novel transcript
GACACCACGGGGCGGCUGGUAUGUGUCCACCGGCCCCUAGGCGCCUCGAGCCCCGCCCCUGGGAGACGCAGGCUCCUCCCCGCGGAGCGAGAGCCCGCGGAGCUGCUCCGAGACCCGCGGGAGGGCACCUCCGGUCACCCGAGCCGCAAAUCCCCGCCGUCCGAAGGGGGUGUCGCCCCGGGCUGUCGGCCCAGCGUGGCUUAGGCCAGGUACAACCGGCAGCGCCCGCCAAGCCCUGGGCUAGGGACGCCUGCGGGAGUUCACGGGGAGGCGCCGGUGUCUGAGGUCUGAGAAGACAGCGGCCACCGGAAAAGGUGCUAAUGUUUGCAGACCCCGAUCCAUCGACACCCCAAGGAAAUGCUGUGCACAAAAUUCCAAGAGGGCCUUUUCGAAUAGACGCAUGAACGGUGUUUGUGUCUGGAUCGUCCAGCCUCCCGGGAUCGAUUGGGAAUCUAGCUUCUGCUUGCCUUUCCAGCGCGACGCACAGUAGGAGCCUAAUAAAUGUUUGCUGAAUGAAUGCUGAAUAUCGAACUCAGUUCCGAGGCAGCAGGAAGAGAUGCGGCCCCUGGAUGUCGCCGAGCUGUCAGAACCGGAGGAAGUGGAGGUGCUGGAGCUGGAGGGGGGUUUUGAGCAGUUUCUGCUCCCGGUCAUCCAUGAGAUGCCAGAGGACAUCGCGUCGCUGACAAGCACUGGCGGGCGUACCUGUGGAAGCGGAGCACGCUGUGGGAGAUGGACAAUAUGCUCUUCCAGAUCAAAACCCAGGUGGAGGCUUCGGAGGAGCAUCCUCAACCGCCUCCACAACCCGGGCGACGCAGUGGAGGGCAGGGUGACCAAGAGGUGCCAGAAGGCCGAGGAGAAGGCCAAGGAAAUGGUGAAGAUGGCAGAGAUGCUGGUGGAGCUGGCCCAGAGGAUAGAGACGAACGAGUCGAGAGCACGGUCGGUGGUUUACAGCCAAUGGAUUCUGGUAAACUGGUGGAGAUUGGCUGACACCCAGAAGAAGCUGAAACCAGAGAGCCUUUGGUUUUCUCUAUUUUACUCUGUCCACGCUCUGUCCUCACUCACACUCAGUUCUCUGCUAUGGUCUGUGGUUGAUGAACUCAAUAUGAGUUUUGAUUGUUUGUGUUUUUGUCUGGGGAAGUAAGUUUAUUUGGAAAAUGCUCUCUCAUACAGGAAUGAGGGCCUAGACCACGCUCUUGCAGCAGUCACAUUUGUUCCUGGGCUUUGGUUGUUAUUUCUAAAUGUUUGAGGUGCUUUGCUCUUUCUUGUGUGAUCUGAUAGCUCCCUGGAACUUUGGAUCUGUGUGUGACACAUGAGCCUCAUUGUUGGAGUUCUCCAGCUCUGGAGGGGCUGAAGGAGCCGCAAUGAUUCUAGAAGAUGACUCCAUACAGCAACUACUGAAGAAAGGACCAGACUUCAGCUGGGAAUGUGGAUGGGCCGACCUGGCUGGGACCCAUGAAUCUGGAGAAGAGCUGGAGAAUGGAGAGUAUUAUCUGUAUUUGAGGACUUUAAUUUCUGUGUAAGACCAAAGGAGGAGAGACACAUUUUGUUCAAAAUUUAAAUUUUAUGUGGUACACUAUCUGAUAUAACCUGUCUAGUGAGUUUGUUUGGACAACCUAAUUCAGCUUUAUCUGACAUGGAACCUGAACUAGAGGAUGAGAUCUUGAUAUUCUGUACAAGUUGAUGUAAUACCCUGAUGCAUUUCGGGGACUCGGCAUAAAAUGAAAGAGAUUUGCAAAGACUCUUGAGGGGCUGGGGGAUGAGAGUGUGGAACUGUACAUUGGACCCUAAACUGGAGUGGAAGAGGCAUCUUCAAUGUUCAUACAUUGUCCAGCUAUAAGUUCAUUUAAGUAGCAGACCUGAUAAAUAUUUGAGGUCAAAACCCUACCAUGUUUUUUUUAAAACUUACCAUGUUAAUCAAAGUAUUCAUUUGCUUGAAAAGAAAAAAAAGUUGGGUAAAGAAUCUAAAUGGACAUUUCUCAAAAGACUAUAUACAAUGUGCCAUGAGGACAUGAAAAAAUGGUCAACA